GUAACUGCGAGUGAAGCGGGAAGAGCUCAAAUUUAAAAUCUGGCAGUCUUCUGGCUGUCCGAGUUGUAAUCUGGAGAAGCGUUUUCUGUGUUGGACCGUGUACAAGUCUCCUGGAACGGAGCGUCAUAGAGGGUGAGAAUCCCGUCCAUGGCACGGACUACCAAUACUUUGUGAUACGCUCUCGAAGAGUCGAGUUGUUUGGGAAUGCAGCUCAAAAUGGGUGGUAAAUUCCAUCUAAAGCUAAAUACAGGCGAGAGACCGAUAGCAAACAAGUACCGUGAGGGAAAGAUGAAAAGCACUUUGGAAAGAGAGUUAAACAGUACGUGAAAUUGUUGAAAGGGAAACGCUUGAAGUCAGUCGCGUUGUGCAGAACUCAGCCUUGCCUCGGCUUGGUGUACUUUCUGCAGAACGGGUCAACAUCAAUUUUGACCCAUGGAGAAAGGUGUGGGGAAUGUAGCAUUGUUUCGGCAGUGUGUUAUAGCCCCUCUACUGUAUACAUGGGUUGGGAUUGAGGAACGCAGCACGCCCUUGUGGCCGGGGGUUCGCCUCACGUACUGUGCUUAGGAUGUUGGCAGAAUGGCUUUAAGCGACCCGUCUUGAAACACGGACCAAGGAGUCUAACAUGCUUGCGAGUGUUCGGGUGGAAAACCCUUGUGCGUAAUGAAAGUGAAAGUUGGGAACCUCCGCAAGGGGGAGCACCGACGCCCGGCCCUGACGUUCUCUGACGGUGCUGCGGUAGAGCAAGUAUGCUGGGACCCGAAAGAUGGUGAACUAUGCCUGAAUAGGGCGAAGCCAGAGGAAACUCUGGUGGAGGCUCGUAGCGAUUCUGACGUGCAAAUCGAUCGUCAAAUUUGGGUAUA
rnacentral:rRNA from 1 species